UCGAUUUUGUUAGAAACUGUGUAUACAGCAGUUGAGUUGACAUCCAAAAAACAUGAUGGAAAGUCUGUGACUUAACAAACCUGUCAAAAGUAUAAAAAGGCAUGUCAUUGGUUAGAAAUUGUCGACAUUUUUUAAAGUUUAUAUCAUGGACAGUUUAAAGGAUUAAAGAUAUUAGGAAACAUCAGUUUAUUAAAAUUUAUGAUGAUAGUUUACAGUUCUAUUGAAUCAAUACAAGUGUGCAGCGUCAACGGAAGUAAAUCAGCAAUUAUUUUAAGGAGAUGAUGCCAAUGAUUCACCAUUAGAAGAUAUGACGGUAACAGUGGUCCAGAACUUGGCUCAACCAGAGUUCCACCAACAUUGCAACAUGCACACAACCAGCAAAACAUACCAAGACUGCCGAAUGUUUGGUCAGGAAAAAGCAUCCCACAAUGUUGCGACAGGCCCAUGUUUCAGUUUAUCGAGACUAGUCGUGAAACACAGACUUCUGAUUCAUGGAGUGCGGCAAACAUAUCUGUGCGACUCGUUCACUCCACUGUAAAGACCCGCACGGCAUUAAAAUGGAUAUCAUUCGAUGUUUGCAAACGAUGGCUGCAUGAGGUCUGCGUCUCACAACCUACAUCCCAAGAUAGCUUUGUGUGUGAUGUUUGUAUUGCACAAUAUAGUUGAUGUAUUGAAACCAGGCUUUAAAAAUAAAUCAAGGUCAACUACAAUUUAAAAUUAAAACUAGAAAUGGCGCGGCAGAGGCUGACGAGUA